GUAGCCAGCGCCACCUUGUAAUGGCAUAUGUGGCUUCCCACAACCAUGUAUGGAUAAACACUGACUCACAAUUCCAUCCACAGCUCUAAGUGAAUGUGGGGUCAGGAUGGGCUUGCUGCAAGCCCCUGCACCAAGAAAAAGACAAACACCAGGAAUCCACUGUCCCAGAAGGAAAAGGUAUACAGAGCAAAGAGAACCUGACCCCUUGUUGAAGUAACGCUUCUCCUGCUGGCUGCAAAUCAUUAGCAGGAACUACAGCUUGUGAUUUUUCCGACUGUCAAGAUCCUGGUGCUGAAUCAUGAUCUUUAUAUCAGGGGAUUAAAUCUACUGAAGACACUUCUUCAUCAGAAGAAGGAUCAAUGGAUUCCCAGGCAUGCACCACCGAAUCCACUGAAGUGGUGCCGGGAAUGGAGCUGGCGCUUCACACAUGCUAAGCAAGUGCCAUGACAACUGAGCCACCUCUCCAAUCAAACUACUGAUCGACCAAAGCAGGCACAAACCAUUGUACCUGCCUGCAGAGAUGCACACCGUGCCUCCCGGGCUAUAUGCGCAGACUGAAUAAAGU